UCCCGUGUGGCUCAGUAGGUAGAGCAUGGCGCUUGCAACGCCAGGGAUAUGGGUUCAACUUCCACCGGGGAC
rnacentral:tRNA from 1 species